GGUGGCUCAGUGUUAGAGUGCUUGCCUCAAGUGCAAGAGGCCUGGGUUCGAUUCCUCAGCACCA
rnacentral:tRNA from 1 species